rnacentral:lncRNA from 1 species
AUUGUUACCUUGGCACUUGUAACGUAGGAAGGGAAACAGGAAGAUGAAAUGUUGAGAUUUGGGGGGGCAGUGGAUGGAAAGGGUUUCUGUGAUGGUUGUUGGUUUAGUCACAUAACAAGCGUUCUUUUCUGUAUAUGAAGUGGGUUUAUGGUUUAAAGCAAGACGUGGGAAUGAAUUUGAUCAUAAGAAGUCCUUGGAGAAGUAUUUGCGGAAUUACGAAACUUUUUUAAACUACAUUGGAGAGUAAAAAUAACCUUCAGCUUGGAUUGAGCCACCAAAGUCCUUGGCACUGUCAAAUGGUUCAACGUCAGAAAUGGAUAUGGAUUUAUAAAUCGAAAUGACACCAAAGAAGAUGUAUUUGUACAUCAGACUGCCAUCAAGAAGAAUAACCCACGGAAAUAUCUGCGCAGUGUAGGAGAUGGAGAAACUGUAGAGUUUGAUGUGGUUGAAGGAGAGAAGGGUGCAGAAGCUGCCAAUGUGACUGGCCCGGAUGGAGUUCCUGUGGAAGGGAGUCGUUACGCUGCAGAUCGGCGCCGUUACAGACGUGGCUACUAUGGAAGGCGC